GGCCGCCUGGCGAAAUGGUAUCGCGUCUGACUACGAUUUGUAUCAAUCAGGAGAUUGCAGGUUCGAGCCCUGCGGUGGUCA
rnacentral:tRNA from 1 species